UAACAUCUGCUAACCACGUGUAUGUGACCAAUAACAUUUGACUUGAUAUGAUUUGAUAUGGAUGCAUAUAGACACAAAAUCACAUACAAACCCUCCCUUCUACUCAUCGUUCCUUCAACACAUGUAAAUCCCUUUAUACCCUACCAUACAAUAAAAAGGAUUCAUGUGGUUAAUGGUUGGAAGUGGAUUACCCAUACUACCAUCUUCAGAAGUACAGACCUAAUGCUACUCUGACAGCCUGUCAAAUGGCAAACAGGCCACAGGGAACUACAGUCUGUCUGAAGCCUAGCAUCUCCUUCAACAACAUCUCCCUCUCUACAAUCACACAUUGGUCCUGAGGGACAGAUCCCCUUGCCCAGGAGCCAUUAAGCCAUACCGUGAACAAGGCUGGCCGAAAUAUGAGUACCAUUGUUGAGAGCUGGGCGCUGUCUAGUUUCACAUUUCUCAAGAAAGGUCCUGUCGUCACUGCCUCUCCCUGACUAUGCCAUAGAGGGAGGGUUAUGGAGGGCCAUGAAGGGGACUCUGGGGAGGAUAGGGCCAAUAGGAUCAUCUCAUUGUUCAUUUGAUAACCUUGAACAGUUGUGUUUAAUGGGAUAAGCUAGUAGAACAUUUAUAAUCUAGCUAAACGGCCCGGCUGUUAAGUUAACCAUCAAUUGUUGAUUUGAGCGCUAAGCUGUUAAUUGAGAAAGCUGGAAAAGAUGGACAGUGUUCAGUUCUCUAAUCUGUUUUGAUCUGAUAACACCACCAAACGCUUUACUGAGGACAAGGAACUAACACAGUGCGACCAGUCAGAUAAUGAGGACCAGAGCACUUGAUUUGUCCCAUUUGAUCCAGGCUCAGCAGCCCCAGUACUGUCUGUCCCCCAUAAGCCAUCUAUUAAUCAAGGAGAGACACGCAGCUGUUUGACACCCCCCAUUCUUCCCUCUCAGGGCCUCCCAACCCAAUAGAGCAGAUAAAAGGAUCCCCCCCCCUACAGAACAGGUGUCCACUGGGGUGAUGUCACUCCCACAGACCAGACCCAUCAAGACUGACUGACAACCUGGUCAUGUCAGCAGCAGCAGCAGGGACCAGCAUCAAUGGUCAGGACCUACUAGAUGCUUGGUUUCAUUAUCCAUGUCUUUUCUGUGGUCUCAAGAUUUCAGUUAAUGUUAAACCAGUCUACAUUCAACCAGUCUACAUUCAACCAGUCUUGUAUUUUUGUGUUUCCAAUUGCCAGCUGGCGCCAUACUUUCCAAAGGCAUUGCUUCUUACACAGCUGUAGACUAGUACUCUACUGCCCUCCACUGGUCUGAAACUUCGAUGGAGGGAGACAAGAUUUACACUUGGAACUGGCACAUUUAAUUCAAAAAAUGUGAAGCGAAUGGUGUGCUUAACUAAUAAGACAUACAUAUGGCCUGAAAUUGUUAUUUUAUCAUCCAUCACAUAAAUACUGAAUUUCAAGCCCUCAAGGAAAAGGGUAUGCAAUCAUGGUCUGUAUUACAGUAUGCUGGAGUUGGAACUCAGGCCCGCAAAUAGUUCUGCCUCCAUGACAUCCCCUACUGAUUCUACAUACCCAUCCAUCCGAGACAGUGUUCUAAACUUCUGAGAGGCCUUACUGAUAAUUAACAUGCUUCAACCUCAACAACAUCACUGUUGUGGAGAGGUCAAAACAGAGGUGGUUCAAUGAGCCAUGCUUACUUGAUGACUGAUGAUAAUCCCGUGUGGCUCAGUUGGUAGAGCAUGGCACUUGUGACGCCAUGGUUGUGGGUUUGAUUCCCAUGGUAGACCAGUAUGGAGAAGAAAAAAAUAAAGUAUAAACUGUAUUUACAUUUUAGCAGAAUCUCUUGUCCAGAGCAACUUACAGUAGUGAAUGCAUAUACUGGUCCAGCAUUGGGAAUCGAACCCAUAACCCUGGCGUUAAGCACCAUGCUCUACCAACUGAGCCACACUGUAUGAACUCAUUACUGUAAGUCGCUCUAGGUAAGAACAUCUGCUAAUUGACUAAAAUGUAAAAAUGUCAUGAUUAACCUUGCCUGAAGACUUGUUAGCUCCUUGUGCUAUGGCCUGUAGCUAUGUGGGCUAAUAAAACCUGUUUUCUCCAUGUGCUGCUGAUUCAGGCAUAAGGGCAUAGUGCAUAGUGCCCUUAUGCUUGAGGUGAUUUGGGAAUCUUGAUAAAGUGGAUUUACGAUCAAAGGUGUGUCGCAUGGCCAGUUAAUGACGUUGUGUGAGUGAAUGAGGUUUCACUAAACAUUGCAUAAUCAGUGGAGUUGAUAUAUAGGCACCUUGAGGCUGCCUCAUGGACAACUUGUCCCACUAUUAUGUUUGGGUCAAGAGGUUGCCUCAGUCAGAUCAUAUUUAAGAGCAAUUUCUAUGAAUGAAACUAGGAAAUAUCAUGUUAAAAAUAAAAUGACAUUAUUCCAUGAGACAAAGUUAAAGAUCUAUUUCAAAUGGAUGAGCCAAUAAUGAGGCAGAUAACAGAAUGAGGACAUGAACAUAUAAGCUAGGCCUACGUCAGUCAGUCCGAUUGUAAAGGUCUGUUUAGGCCUACGUCAGUCAGUCCGAUUGUAAAGGUCUGUUUAGGCCUACGUCAGUCAGUCCGAUUGUAAAGGUCUGUUUAGGCCUACGUCAGUCAGUCCGAUUGUAAAGGUCUGUUUAGGCCUACGUCAGUCAGUCCGAUUGUAAAGGUCUGUUUAGGCCUACGUCAGUCAGUCCGAUUGUAAAGGUCUGUUUAGGCCUACGUCAGUCAGUCCGAUUGUAAAGGUCUGUUUAGGCCUACGUCAGUCAGUCCGAUUGUAAAGGUCUGUUUAGGCCUACGUCAGUCAGUCCGAUUGUAAAGGUCUGUUUAGGCCUACGUCAGUCAGUCCGAUUGUAAAGGUCUGUUUAGGCCUACGUCAGUCAGUCCGAUUGUAAAGGUCUGUUUAGGCCUACGUCAGUCAGUCCGAUUGUAAAGGUCUGUUUAGGCCUACGUCAGUCAGUCCGAUUGUAAAGGUCUGUUUAGGCCUACGUCAGUCAGUCCGAUUGUAAAGGUCUGUUUAGGCCUACGUCAGUCAGUCCGAUUGUAAAGGUCUGUUUAGGCCUACGUCAGUCAGUCCGAUUGUAAAGGUCUGUUUAGGCCUACGUCAGUCAGUCCGAUUGUAAAGGUCUGUUUAGGCCUACGUCAGUCAGUCCGAUUGUAAAGGUCUGUUUAGGCCUACGUCAGUCAGUCCGAUUGUAAAGGUCUGUUUAGGCCUACGUCAGUCAGUCCGAUUGUAAAGGUCUGUUUAGGCCUACGUCAGUCAGUCCGAUUGUAAAGGUCUGUUUAGGCCUACGUCAGUCAGUCCGAUUGUAAAGGUCUGUUUAGGCCUACGUCAGUCAGUCCGAUUGUAAAGGUCUGUUUAGGCCUACGUCAGUCAGUCCGAUUGUAAAGGUCUGUUUAGGCCUACGUCAGUCAGUCCGAUUGUAAAGGUCUGUUUAGGCCUACGUCAGUCAGUCCGAUUGUAAAGGUCUGUUUAGGCCUACGUCAGUCAGUCCGAUUGUAAAGGUCUGUUUAGGCCUACGUCAGUCAGUCCGAUUGUAAAGGUCUGUUUAGGCCUACGUCAGUCAGUCCGAUUGUAAAGGUCUGUUUAGGCCUACGUCAGUCAGUCCGAUUGUAAAGGUCUGUUUAGGCCUACGUCAGUCAGUCCGAUUGUAAAGGUCUGUUUAGGCCUACGUCAGUCAGUCCGAUU